UAGGGAAUCUUCGGCAAUGGACGAAAGUCUGACCGAGCAACGCCGCGUGAGUGAAGAAGGUUUUCGGAUCGUAAAACUCUGUUGUUAGAGAAGAACAAGGACGUUAGUAACUGAACGUCCCCUGACGGUAUCUAACCAGAAAGCCACGGCUAACUACGUGCCAGCAGCCGCGGUAAUACGUAGGUGGCAAGCGUUGUCCGGAUUUAUUGGGCGUAAAGCGAGCGCAGGCGGUUUCUUAAGUCUGAUGUGAAAGCCCCCGGCUCAACCGGGGAGGGUCAUUGGAAACUGGGAGACUUGAGUGCAGAAGAGGAGAGUGGAAUUCCAUGUGUAGCGGUGAAAUGCGUAGAUAUAUGGAGUAACACCAGAGGCGAAGGCGGCUCUCUGGUCUGUAACUGACGCUGAGGCUCGAAAGCGUGGGGAGCAAACAGG
rnacentral:rRNA from 1 species